rnacentral:rRNA from 3 species
GGGUUGUGAGGUUAAGCGACUAAGCGUACACGGUGGAUGCCCUGGCAGUCAGAGGCGAUGAAGGGCGUGCUAAUCUGCGAUAAGCGCCGGUAAGGUGAUAUGAACCGUUAUAACCGGCGAUACCCGAAUGGGGAAACCCAGUGUGAUUCGUCACACUAUCAUUAACUGAAUCCAUAGGUUAAUGAGGCGAACCGGGGGAACUGAAACAUCUAAGUACCCCGAGGAAAAGAAAUCAACCGAGAUUCCCCCAGUAGCGGCGAGCGAACGGGGAGGAGCCCAGAGCCUGAAUCAGCAUGUGUGUUAGUGGAAGCGUCUGGAAAGGCGCGCGAUACAGGGUGACAGCCCCGUACACAAAAGCGCAUGUGCUGUGAGCUCGAUGAGUAGGGCGGGACACGUGGUAUCCUGUCUGAAUAUGGGGGGACCAUCCUCCAAGGCUAAAUACUCCUGACUGACCGAUAGUGAACCAGUACCGUGAGGGAAAGGCGAAAAGAACCCCGGCGAGGGGAGUGAAAAAGAACCUGAAACCGUGUACGUACAAGCAGUGGGAGCACAGGUUUACCUGUGUGACUGCGUACCUUUUGUAUAAUGGGUCAGCGACUUAUAUUCUGUAGCAAGGUUAACCGAAUAGGGGAGCCGGAGGGAAACCGAGUCUUAAUUGGGCGUUAAGUUGCAGGGUAUAGACCCGAAACCCGGUGAUCUAGCCAUGGGCAGGUUGAAGGUUGGGUAACACUAACUGGAGGACCGAACCGACUAAUGUUGAAAAAUUAGCGGAUGACCUGUGGCUGGGGGUGAAAGGCCAAUCAAACCGGGAGAUAGCUGGUUCUCCCCGAAAGCUAUUUAGGUAGCGCCUCGUGAAUUCAUCUCCGGGGGUAGAGCACUGUUUCGGCUAGGGGGCCAUCCCGGCUUACCAACCCGAUGCAAACUGCGAAUACCGGAGAAUGUUAUCACGGGAGACACACGGCGGGUGCUAACGUCCGUCGUGAAGAGGGAAACAACCCAGACCGCCAGCUAAGGUCCCAAAGUCAUGGUUAAGUGGGAAACGAUGUGGGAAGGCCCAGACAGCCAGGAUGUUGGCUUAGAAGCAGCCAUCAUUUAAAGAAAGCGUAAUAGCUCACUGGUCGAGUCGGCCUGCGCGGAAGAUGUAACGGGGCUAAACCAUGCACCGAAGCUGCGGCAGCGACGCUUAUGCGUUGUUGGGUAGGGGAGCGUUCUGUAAGCCUGUGAAGGUGGCCUGUGAGGGUUGCUGGAGGUAUCAGAAGUGCGAAUGCUGACAUAAGUAACGAUAAAGCGGGUGAAAAGCCCGCUCGCCGGAAGACCAAGGGUUCCUGUCCAACGUUAAUCGGGGCAGGGUGAGUCGACCCCUAAGGCGAGGCCGAAAGGCGUAGUCGAUGGGAAACGGGUUAAUAUUCCCGUACUUGGUGUUACUGCGAAGGGGGGACGGAGAAGGCUAUGUUGGCCGGGCGACGGUUGUCCCGGUUUAAGCGUGUAGGUGUGUGUUCCAGGUAAAUCCGGUUCACUUUAACACUGAGGCGUGAUGACGAGGCACUACGGUGCUGAAGUAACAAAUGCCCUGCUUCCAGGAAAAGCCUCUAAGCAUCAGGUAACAUCAAAUCGUACCCCAAACCGACACAGGUGGUCAGGUAGAGAAUACCAAGGCGCUUGAGAGAACUCGGGUGAAGGAACUAGGCAAAAUGGUGCCGUAACUUCGGGAGAAGGCACGCUGACACGUAGGUGAAGUGAUUUACUCAUGGAGCUGAAGUCAGUCGAAGAUACCAGCUGGCUGCAACUGUUUAUUAAAAACACAGCACUGUGCAAACACGAAAGUGGACGUAUACGGUGUGACGCCUGCCCGGUGCCGGAAGGUUAAUUGAUGGGGUCAGCGCAAGCGAAGCUCCUGAUCGAAGCCCCGGUAAACGGCGGCCGUAACUAUAACGGUCCUAAGGUAGCGAAAUUCCUUGUCGGGUAAGUUCCGACCUGCACGAAUGGCGUAAUGAUGGCCAGGCUGUCUCCACCCGAGACUCAGUGAAAUUGAACUCGCUGUGAAGAUGCAGUGUACCCGCGGCAAGACGGAAAGACCCCGUGAACCUUUACUAUAGCUUGACACUGAACAUUGAGCCUUGAUGUGUAGGAUAGGUGGGAGGCUUUGAAGUGUGGACGCCAGUCUGCAUGGAGCCGACCUUGAAAUACCACCCUUUAAUGUUUGAUGUUCUAACGUGGACCCGUUACCCGGGUUGCGGACAGUGUCUGGUGGGUAGUUUGACUGGGGCGGUCUCCUCCUAAAGAGUAACGGAGGAGCACGAAGGUUGGCUAAUCCUGGUCGGACAUCAGGAGGUUAGUGCAAUGGCAUAAGCCAGCUUGACUGCGAGCGUGACGGCGCGAGCAGGUGCGAAAGCAGGUCAUAGUGAUCCGGUGGUUCUGAAUGGAAGGGCCAUCGCUCAACGGAUAAAAGGUACUCCGGGGAUAACAGGCUGAUACCGCCCAAGAGUUCAUAUCGACGGCGGUGUUUGGCACCUCGAUGUCGGCUCAUCACAUCCUGGGGCUGAAGUAGGUCCCAAGGGUAUGGCUGUUCGCCAUUUAAAGUGGUACGCGAGCUGGGUUUAGAACGUCGUGAGACAGUUCGGUCCCUAUCUGCCGUGGGCGCUGGAGAACUGAGGGGGGCUGCUCCUAGUACGAGAGGACCGGAGUGGACGCAUCACUGGUGUUCGGGUUGUCAUGCCAAUGGCACUGCCCGGUAGCUAAAUGCGGAAGAGAUAAGUGCUGAAAGCAUCUAAGCACGAAACUUGCCCCGAGAUGAGUUCUCCCUGAGACUUAAAGUCUCCUGAAGGAACGUUGAAGACGACGACGUUGAUAGGCCGGGUGUGUAAGCGCAGCGAUGCGUUGAGCUAACCGGUACUAAUGAACCGUGAGGCUUAACCCUACAACGCCGAAG